ensembl:snoRNA small nucleolar RNA SNORA61
ACCCUCCAGUUCCCUUUCCCAUCGGAUCUAAACACUGGUCUUGGUGGUCGUUAAAGGAGGGAAAGGAGGAAUGCUGAAGCUGGCCCCAACGCCUUAUAGUCUGGUAUACUGCAGAUGGGCUAGUUUCAAACAGGG